rnacentral:rRNA from 1 species
GACGAACCGAGCGAACGUUGUUCGGAAUCACUGGGCUUAAAGGGCGCGUAGGCGGGUGCUCAAGUCUGUGGUGAAAUCCUCCGGCUCAACCGGAGAACUGCCAUGGAUACUGGGUGCCUCGAGGGUGGUAGGGGUAUGCGGAACUAUCGGUGGAGCGGUGAAAUGCGUUGAUAUCGAUAGGAACUCCGGUGGCGAAGGCGGCAUACUGGACCACAUCUGACGCUGAGGCGCGAAAGCCAGGGGAGCGAACGGG